AGUGAACGCUGGCGGCGUGCCUAAUACAUGCAAGUCGAACGGCAUGGCGCACGGGUGAGUAAUGUAUAGAUAAUCUGCCCUACACUAGAGGACACCCGUUGGAAACACCUGCUAAUAAUCUAUAGUGUAGAAUGAGGCUAUAUUGUAUCAGCUAUUUUGUGAGGUAAUGGCUCAACAAGGUUAUGACGCAUAACUGGUAUGCGAGGAUGAUCAGGCACACUGUACCUUAGACACGGUCCAGAUUCCUACGUGAUGCAGCAGUAGGGAAUAUUGCUCAAUGGGGGAAACCCUGAAGCAGCAACGCCGCGUGGAGGAUGACACGUUUCGGAGCGGAAACUCCUUUUGUUAGGGAAGCGGUACCUAACGAAUAAGCACCGGCUAACUCCGGGCCAGCAGCCGCGGUAAUUC
rnacentral:rRNA from 1 species